UACGUAGGGGGCGAGCGUUGUCCGGAUUUAUUGGGCGUAAAGAGCGUGUAGGCGGCCAGGUAGGUCCGUUGUGAAAACUCGAGGCUUAACCUCGGGACGCCGACGGAAACCAUCUGGCUAGGGUCCGGAAGAGGAGAGUGGAAUUCCCGGUGUAGCGGUGAAAUGCGCAGAUAUCGGGAAGAACACCCGUGGCGAAGGCGGCUCUCUGGGACGGUACCGACGCUGAGACGCGAAAGCGUGGGGAGCGAACAGG
rnacentral:rRNA from 1 species